rnacentral:rRNA from 1 species
AACGCGAAGAACCUUACCCAGGUUUGAAAUACAGGAGACGAUAUCAGAGAUGAUAUUUUCCGCAAGGACUGCUGUACAGGUGCUGCAUGGCUGUCGUCAGCUCGUGCCGUGAGGUGUUGGGUUAAGUCCCGCAACGAGCGCAACCCUUAUCAUUAGUUGCCAACACGCGAGGUGGGGACUCUAAUGAGACUGCCGAGGUUAACUCGGAGGAAGGUGAGGAUGACGUCAAGUCCGCAUGGCCUUUAUAUCUGGGGCUACACACGUGCUACAAUGGCCGGUACAGAAGGCAGCAAAGCCGCAAGGUAGAGCAAAUCCGCUAAAGCCGGUCUCAGUUCAGAUUGUAGUCUGCAACUCGACUACAUGAAGUUGGAAUUGCUAGUAAUGACGUGUCAGCAACAACGUCGUGAAUACGUUCCCGGGCUUGUA